rnacentral:rRNA from 1 species
UACGUAGGGUGCAAGCGUUUAAUCGGAAGUUACUGGGCGUAAAGCGUGCGCAGGCUGGUUAUGUAAGACAGGUGAUGAAAUCCCCGGGCUUAACCUCGGGAACUGCAUUUGUGACUGCAUAGCUAGAGUACGGUGAGAGGGGGGAUGGAAUUCCGCGUGUAGCAGUAGAAAUGCGUAGAUAUGCGGAGGAACACCGAUGGACGGAAGGCAAUUACCCCUGGACCUGUACUGACGCUAGCAUGCGAAGCGAAAGCGUGGGGAGCCAAAGAGG